rnacentral:rRNA from 1 species
AGUGAACGCUGGCGGCAGGCCUAACACAUGCAAGUCGGACGGUAGCACAGAGGAGCUUGCUCCUCGGGUGACGAGUGGCGGACGGGUGAGUAAUGUCUGGGGAUCUGCCCGAUAGAGGGGGAUAACCACUGGAAACGGUGGCUAAUACCGCAUAACGUCGCAAGACCAAAGAGGGGGACCUUCGGGCCUCUCACUAUCGGAUGAACCCAGAUGGGAUUAGCUAGUAGGCGGGGUAACGGCCCACCUAGGCGACGAUCCCUAGCUGGUCUGAGAGGAUGACCAGCUAAACUGGAACUGGGACACGGUCCAGACUCCUACGGGAGGUAGCAGUGGGGAAUAUUGCACAAUGGGCGCAAGCCUGAUGCAGCCAUGCCGCGUGUAUGAAGAAGGCCUUCGGGUUGUAAAGUACUUUCAGCGGGGAGGAAGGCGAUGUGGUUAAUAACCGCAUUGAUUGACGUUACCCGCAGAAGAAGCACCGGCUAACUCCGUGCCAGCAGCCGCGGUAA